UACGUAGGGUCCUAGCGUUAUCCGGAAUCAUUGGGCGUAAAGAGCUCGUAGGCGGUUCAGCAAGUCGGCUGUGAAAGUCCGAGGCUUAACCUCGGAAUUGCAGUCGAUACUGCUGUGACUCGAGUCCGGUAGAGGAGAAUGGAAUUCUCGGUGUAGCGGUGAAAUGCGCAGAUAUCGAGAGGAACACCAGUAGCGAAGGCGGUUCUCUGGGCCGGCACUGACGCUGAGGAGCGAAAGCGUGGGGAGCAAACAGG
rnacentral:rRNA from 1 species